CGGGUAAAAAUACCGCGGUACGAUUGCACCGUAAAACGUGCCAGUUGAGUUUUGAGCUCUAGGUUUCAAAUAUGAGUUAUAAAUGGUUUAUAAAGUCAGGAAAUAUGAUUUCGGAUAAUAAUUGAUGGAAUUAAGUUAGUUUGGGGAAGCGUGCCAACGGCGCGCACAAUAGCUUAAAACAGUGUUUUCUCCGAACGACCGGAAACCUCCGGAUUCAUCUGAUCAAGUAUAAUUAAAGGAGAAUGGUUAAGGUUAAAAAUUAGAGUUUCUAAAUAGGUUGUGAAUUUACGGAUGUUUAGUGGAAUCGUAGAGAAAUUCGGAUAAGUUCUAAAUCGCGUGAGGUGGCGUGAGACCCACCCCACUUAAAAUCCACUUAAUCCACCUCAUCACCACUAUUCAUCAUCACCUUCUCUCCUCCCCUUUCAGACAAAACCGAGCUGCUGCCCCUCCCCCUCCAUUUUUGGGCAAAAUUUUCUUUUCCUCACAACUUAGCCAUUUCUCCACCGAAUCCAACGAUUUUUGUCUUGAAUCUUGAUGGAAAACACCUUCUAAACACAUUGGUACCACUCUUGAGCCUUGAAACCGUGUAUUUGGGGAGAUCAAAGCCAUUUUCAGAUUCGACCCUUUGAAGAAAAAUGGAUAUUCAUGGAGUCAUUUGAGCUUCCAUUGCUUGGAGGAGUCUUGGGUUAACAUCUAGCCUUGAUUGUUGCCGUACGUCGACUUGAAUCCCGAACCGUGAAUCGGAAGAGUGCCCUUUGUCAUGGACCAAGUGAGUUGAGGUAUUCUGUUGAGAAACAAGUUUGGAAAAUAAGCUGCUGUGGAGUUAGUGAAGAGGCAUAUUAAGGAGGUAGUAGUGGCACAGGAGUGGCAGGCAAGAGGCCCGUAGGAUGAGUCAUGGAAGCAUUAUCAUUACUUGUUCAUGAUAUAUAUUGUGCCUGAGUCUAGUUAGUUAUUAUUUCAUUCGAAGUUAUGUUUAA